GUGCUUGCUUCAGCAGUACAUAUACUAAAACUGGAACAAUACAGGGAAGAUCGGCACAGCCCCUACAAAAGGAUAAUAUGCAAAUUUAUAAAGCAUUUCACAUUUUA
ensembl:snRNA U6 U6 spliceosomal RNA